AAACGGGUAGCAAUACCCGGAGUACAGCGGCGAAAGGGUGCGUAUGACAUGAAGAACGUACCCCUCCGUUCGGAAUAAUUCAGCGAAAGCUGGGCUAAUACCGGAUACGGCCGCGGCGACGCCUGUCGCUGCGGUGAAAGUCGCAAGACGCGGAUGGAGCGCUUCAUGGCCUAUCAGCUAGUUGGCGGGGUAACGGCCUACCAAGGCGAUGACGGGUAGUUGGACUGAGAGGUCGAUCGGCACACGGGGACUGAGACACGGUCCCGACAUCUAUGGAUGGCAGCAGUAGGGAAUAUUGCGCAAUGGGCGAAAGCCUGACGCAGCGACGCCGCGUGGGGGAUGAAGGCCUUCGGGUUGUAAACCCCUUUCAUGUGGGAAGAACAUUGACUUAAUCACAGGAAGAAGCACCGGCUAACUCCGUGCCAGCAGUUGCGGUAAGACGGAGAGUGCAAACGUUGUUCGGAUUUACUGGGCGUAGAGGGCACGUAGGCGGUCAGGCAAAUCAGUUGUGGAAUCCCGACGCCUACCGUCGGAACGGCAAUUGAAAAUACCUGGCUCGAGGGCAUGAGGGGUCGCGGGAACUCUUGGUGGAGCGGUGAAAUGCGUAGAUAUCAAGAGGAACGCCGGAGGCGAAAGCGCGCGACUGGCAUGUCCCUGACGCUGAGGUGCGAAAGCCGGGGGAGCAAACAGGAUUAGAUACCCUGGUAGUCCCGGCUGUAAACGAUGGACACUGAAUGGAGGAGGGUUCACCUUUCUCUGUUGCAGCUAACGCGUUAAGUGUCCCGCCUGGGGAGUACGGCCGCAAGGUUAAAACUCAAAGGAAUUGAC
rnacentral:rRNA from 1 species